rnacentral:rRNA from 1 species
UGGGGAAUAUUGCACAAUGGGCGCAAGCCUGAUGCAGCCAUGCCGCGUGUGUGAAGAAGGCCUUCGGGUUGUAAAGCACUUUCAGCGAGGAGGAAGGUGGUGAGCUUAAUACGCUCAUCAAUUGACGUUACUCGCAGAAGAAGCACCGGCUAACUCCGUGCCAGCAGCCGCGGUAAUACGGAGGGUGCAAGCGUUAAUCGGAAUUACUGGGCGUAAAGCGCACGCAGGCGGUUUGUUAAGUCAGAUGUGAAAUCCCCGGGCUCAACCUGGGAACUGCAUUUGAAACUGGCAAGCUAGAUCUCGUAGAGGGGGUAGAAUUCCAGGUGUAGCGGUGAAAUGCGUAGAGAUCUGGAGGAAUACCGGUGGCGAAGGCGGCCCCCUGGACGAAGACUGACGCUCAGGUGCG